rnacentral:rRNA from 1 species
GACGUAGGGUGCGAGCGUUGUCCGGAAUUAUUGGGCGUAAAGAGCUUGUAGGCGGCUUGUUGCGUCUGCUGUGAAAUCCUAAGGCUCAACCUUGGGCUUGCAGUGGGUACGGGCAGGCUAGAGUGCGGUAGGGGUGGCUGGAAUUCCUGGUGUAGCGGUGGAAUGCGCAGAUAUCAGGAGGAACACCGAUGGCGAAGGCAGGUCACUGGGCCGCAACUGACGCUGAGGAACGAAAGCAUGGGGAGCGAACAGG